rnacentral:lncRNA from 1 species
UGUGGUCCAUUUUUCCUGUCAUUAAGAAGUGCUGUUGAAGCCUCUUUCUUCUCACGGGCUUCACGACGUCUUUUAAGAAUAUCAUCUUUAUUGCGUGCAUAAUACUUUUUUUUCCUCUGCCUCUUCAAUUCUUCAAGGUAUGUUAUAAAUACAUACCGCAACUUAGCACAUAAGCAACAGCAAAACAGUAGAGCAAAGUAGGAACUGGUUGAUGAUAGUUACCCAAUGUCUGGUUGUUGCUUAUAUCCUGAAAUGGGGUGCGCGCCCCCGCACUAUUGGGAGAUGUCAUACCUUCACCUUCAUGUGAAUAUUCAUGCCAUUAAAUUUUGAGAAGCAUGGAAACUGUGGAAAUUAAUCAUGAACACCACCAUUAGAUGCAAACAUAGUACACUGUCCUUUCUCUUGAUAUUGUGUUUCAGCAGAGUUCUACUUUGACAUUAAAAUCAAUUUUGAAUGGCAGAUCCCCUUAUUGGACCACAUUAAGUUGUUGGCCCUGCUAUUUAACGUCCAUGGUGAUGCUGAUGAUGAUCUUGGCAGGGGUAAUGCUUUGAUUUCAUAGACCUGUUGCUUUGAUAGCUAGAGAACUAAUUUCUCAAGAGGACUUGAUUUAGUGUUCUUAUGAUAUUUUUUAGCUGGCGCUGUUUUUUUUUCAUGGAUUUUUUCUGUCCACUACAUCAUAAAUCUGGUAAUAUAAAAGUAAUAUCUAUUUUUGAUUAUGUAAUGACCGACUGUUAUCUUGCUUCUUACUCAUGUAUCUUCAGAUUUAUGUAUCUGCCUGGGGUCUUGGCAUGUCCUUGAGCACGCAUCAGGUAUCUAUGUAUCUGUUGGUAUCUUAGUGCACUUUGUAGUUUCAGAGUAGCACUCUAUAAUUUGGCACAUGCUGACAUGCCUAUGAGUGUAUAUGUAUGUGCAUGUGUACUGGCCAUAGGCCCGAGCUGAAACUAAUUAUGAUUAAUUUGCUCGUUCUGUGAUGUGCGCUUACAUUAAUACCAUUGGCACCUUUGUAAAUUCUAUAAGCUAAAUCCAAUAUUGUAGGUGUUCUGCGACAACUCAAGUCACCUUCGUAAAUUCAGAAAGCCAAGGAGACAGGGUGCAUGAUUCAGUUAGUUACAAAAUUGCAGUAGCCAAAACACUAACCAUGUUCCACAUAGAAAACCAUUAAUUACAGAUAUAAAACGAACGGCUUAUAGCAUUAUGCUGUGCAACUGUUUGUUUUUUAGAACUCUAUUCUGAAAAUUCUAAUCCUGUAUAAUGUUGCAAUAGGUGAAAGGAAGAAGUUGAACCUGAAGAAGGGCAGGGAAGAAUUAUAGCUUUGUGUGGCCGGCUGGUUCAGGGGACGUGCAGGGCGGGCGCGGCUCCGCGGGUGCCGAGGCAGGCUCCUGGGUGGCUAUCUCGCGGAUGGGCCACACUGCAAGGGCAGGUUCGUGGGCGCCCGCUAUCUUGCUGACGGAUUACACGCUGUGAGCAGCAACAAUCGGCGGUGGCGAUCUUGCAGGGAGGCGACCGAGCGGUGCAGUGCCGCGAGGUAUCGAUGCGGGCAGGAGACGGGGUUGGUGGGAGGCACCCUGAUCAAGGGCGAGGGAAGCUAAUUUAGUUGAGUUUCCUUAUUAGUUUGCGAUCACAAUUGCAUAAUUGUAGGGGACGUGGGCUGGUACUUGGAAUAUUCCUCCGGUGGUGGAGUACGGUCAGUCAUAGGAAUUUGCUAAGUGCACACCGUAGAGGUAUUAGAUCAAUGAUGGCUGUUAGAUUAGGACAUGUGGGACUAAUUGUGUGGUGUUGAUUGGUUCGUAUGUUUUGUGGUACUAAUUUUUG